rnacentral:rRNA from 1 species
UGGGGAAUAUUGCACAAUGGGCGCAAGCCUGAUGCAGCCAUGCCGCGUGUGUGAAGAAGGCCUUCGGGUUGUAAAGCACUUUCAGCGAGGAGGAAGGUGGUGAACUUAAUACGUCAUCAAUUGACGUUACUCGCAGAAGAAGCACCGGCUAACUCCGUGCCAGCAGCCGCGGUAAUACAGAGGGUGCAAGCGUUAAUCGGAAUUACUGGGCGUAAAGCGCACGCAGGCGGUUUGUUAAGUCAGAUGUGAAAUCCCCGGGCUCAACCUGGGAACUGCAUUUGAAACUGGCAAGCUAGAAGUCUCGUAGAGGGGGGUAGAAUUCCAGGUGGUAGCGGUGAAAUGCGUAGAGAUCUGGAGGAAUACCGGUGGCGAAGGCGGCCCCCUGGACGAAGACUGACCGCUCAGGUGCGAAAAGCGUGGGGAGCAAAACAGGAUUAGGAUAACCCUGGUAGUCACGCUGUAAACGAUGUCGAAUUUUGGAGGUUGUGCCCUUGAGGCGUGGCUUCCGGAGCUAACGCGUUAAAUCGACCGCCUGGGGAGUACGGCCGCAAGGUU